rnacentral:lncRNA from 14 species
GCUGGUUACAAUGUAUCCAUAAUCAGAAGGCAGAAAGUAAGGAACACCCGCUGCUGUUCAUCUCUUCCUUUGUACCACCCAAACUCAGAGUCAGGGAGCUUGAUACUUAUUCUCGCCCGAGACCCUAGUCCCAGGUUCUAGAUUCUGACGGUUAACACUAACCACCACAGGGUCUCUCAUCUGUAUCUCAGACUGGCUUCGAACUUGAUCCUCCUGCUUCCUCAGCCUCCCAAGUGCUAAGAUUCCAGACCUGUACCGCCACGGCCAGCUUCACACUUUAUCAUAAAACCUGGCGUUGUGUUAGAUGAUGUCACCCGCUGUCGGCUGACGUCAAUGUUCUGAGCACACUCAAGGUCAGCUGGGCUAAGCUACAAUGUCAGUGUCCUUGGGGGAUUAAAUGCGGUUUUUUGACUUAACGAUGUUUUCAUCUUGUGAUCGACUUACUGGGACUGUGGCUCUAGAGCUAAGUCAAGGAACGGUGGACACGUCCUGCCAACGAAGAAGGAGCCUUGUAUCACCUCCAGGGCUCAUCUGGAUAAACCAAGGCUCAAAGAGAGAAGUGAUUCUAUUCUAUGUGUGUGCUGAUGACUGGGACACCGGACUCCCCCACUUUCGAGUGGCCUCUGUGAUCCUAGUAGGGAAACUGAGGCAGAGUGGCGAGUUCAGAGCCAGCCUGAGCAGCAGAACAGACUCAGAUCUCCAGUCUUUCAUGGUUUCUCACAGCCCCUCCAGCUGGCAGGGAGGCCACCAUCUUGAUCUGUUCCCCAACCUGUCAUGAAGUGC